rnacentral:rRNA from 1 species
UGGGAACCUUCCCUAUGGAUCGGAAUAGCUCAGGGAAACUUGGGGUAAUACCGGAUAAGCCCUUCGGGGGAAAGAUUUAUCGCCAUUGGAUGGGCCCGCGUCGGAUUAGCUAGUUGGUGAGGUAACGGCUCACCAAGGCAACGAUCCGUAGCUGGUCUGAGAGGAUGAUCAGCCACACUGGGACUGAGACACGGCCCAGACUCCUACGGGAGCAG